UACGGGGGGGGUAAGCGUUGUUCGGAAUUACUGGGCGUAAAGGGCUCGUAGGCGGCCAACUAAGUCAGACGUGAAAUCCCUCAGCUUAACUGGGGAACUGCGUCUGAUACUGGAUGGCUUGGAUUUGGGAGAGGGAUGCGGAAUUCCAGGUGUAGCGGUGAAAUGCGCAGAUAUCUGGAGGAACACCGGUGGCGAAGGCGGCAUCCUGGACCGACAUUGACGCUGAGGCGCGAAAGCCAGGGGAGCAAACGGG
rnacentral:rRNA from 1 species